UGUGCUUACUUGGGCAGUACAUAAAAAUUGGAAAGAUACAGCGAUUAGCCAGGCUCCUGCGCAAAGAUGACACACAGAUUUGUGAAAUAUACUUGAACUUU
rfam:Loxodonta africana unplaced genomic scaffold scaffold_63, whole genome shotgun sequence.